UGUGACAAGCCCUGUGUUAUACUUCACUCAUGGAGACACCUUUGCUUUAUUCUUCCUUUCCCUCCCGCUCAACGUAAAGGCCAAAUCAGUAAAAGGUCAAGCUGACUGUGCUGAGUCCAAGGAAUUGAGCAUUAAUGAAGUACAUUUAUCAAGGAACAAGUUGGUAAGGAAAGGAGAUGAGGAGACCUCCCUCUGCAGCUGAACUCUAAGGCCACGUGCUUCUCCCAGGUCCUGGUUGGUGGACUCUCCUGUGUGUAUGUGAGAGUGGGUAUGUGUGUGGGAGCUGUCUAUGUGGGCAUGAGUGUGCUGUGAGUUUGAUGUCUUCUUGUUUUGCACUUGAAAGGAGGGGUAUAGUGGGAGAAAAAUU
ensembl:lncRNA